AUUCGACGUUUCCGCUUUGCUCGGGGGGACAACCUUAACUGAAAUAGCUGUAUACGACGUCAAGUCGGUUCGAGUAAGUGCACAUGAUAUUUCGGAUUUCGGUUCGAGUGCAUUAUAUGGGUGAUAUUUCGGAGUACAUUACAUCACAAUCAUUGCUUGACCGCUGUGGGAGUCAAAGUGCUCAUAAGUAGAUACAGAUAUCGAAGGAACUAGAGUGAGUUCCGAAAUAUCACCCACUCGAACUGACUUGACCUCGUAGCUCAAUUGAUGAUAAGUAUAGGUUAUUUUGAGGCAACGAGGGGA
rnacentral:lncRNA from 1 species